rnacentral:misc_RNA from 1 species
UCCUAGUUAACCUAGGCAGUCUCACUAGAGUCCCCAUCUUUCAUGUUGGCAACUAAUGAUAAGGGUUGCGCUCGUUGCUGGACUUAACCAAACACCUCACGGCACGAGCUGACGACAGCCAUGCAGCACCUAUACAGAAGUCCUUACGGAAAGCUACAUCUCUGUAGCGGUCCUCUGCAUUUCGAGCCCAGGUAAGGUUCUUCGCGUUGCAUCGAAUUAAACCACAUGCUCCACUGCUUGUGCGGGCCCCCGUCAAUUCUUUUGAGUUUCACUCUUGCGAGCGUACUCCUCAGGCGGUGUACUUAUCGCGUUAGCUUCGACACAGUUCAGGGUUGAGCCUGAUCUACAUCAAGUACACAUCGUUUACGGCGUGGACUAC